AUUGCCAGGGAAUUACUCACACAAUCACUCUCUUUCCCUGGUGUUAAAUAGGGGAGAGAAGGCUUUUGUUCUGGGAGGAGCAUAUUCAAAAGUGAUAGAUGGCCACAGCAUAAAGUGAUCCAGUACGGGAUCCUGAUAUCUUGGACCAAACUCCACUCUGAACAGGUUGUCAUGUCUGUCAUCAAGUUUCAGAAUCAAGCUAUCAGAAGAUGCCCUUCAGCCGAAGUGUUAAGAGGAAUUGGUCAUUAUUAGAGACAUUGAAGAGCAUUGGGCAAGAACAGAACUCCACUAGAAACAGCUUCAUUCAGUGCUGGUUCCCUAUUAGUAAUUACAUGUUGAGGUCUAUUAAUUAGCCAGUUUUUAUUCUGUGUAAUGUAUUCUAACACUUCUGUCAGGUGUUGUAAGUGGCAACAAAGGCUGAGUUCAAAUGCGUAGGGAACCCUCUUAACACUAACAAACAUUAUUGGCUCAAACCCCCACCCAGAAUUUCUGGGAUCAUUAAUACCUUCCCUGGUCCCCACUCACAAGCACUAAGUCUGUGUAUGAAAUAAGGACAACUUUUUUUUUUAGCCGAAAAGGGAACACAGGCUCAAUGUGGAGAAACAUAGCAAUCUGAUAAAUAAUGUACUCUUCCAUGGUAUCUUUUUGGCAGUAGUGUGUUAACUUGGUUCCUAACCAUCUGAUGUGAAUUCCCAAUAGGCAAUGUCUCUUUACUGCAUCACUUCCCCCUUCCCCAUCCACUAAACACCACUGAGGGUUUGGUAUCAGUGAGUAGCAUAAUCCCAGAGUCCUCAGGUACAUUCAGGCAAGCCUGCAUCCAGUUCCUGCUUCACCUCCUAACCCAGCCACAGUG